rnacentral:rRNA from 1 species
ACGGAGGAUGCAAGCGUUAUCCGGAUUUAUUGGGUUUAAAGGGUGCGUAGGCGGAUUAAUAAGUCAGCGGUGAAAACCUUCAGCUUAACUGGAGACUUGCCAUUGAUACUGUUAGUCUUGAGUAUGGUUAAGGUAGGCGGAAUGUGUAAUGUAGCGGUGAAAUGCUUAGAUAUUACACAGAACACCAAUUGCGAAGGCAGCUUACUGAGCCAUAACUGACGCUGAUGCACGAAAGCGUGGGGAGCGAACAGGAUUAGAUACCCUGGUAGUCCACGCCGUAAACGAUGAUCACUCGCUGUUGGCGAUACACAGUCAGCGGCUAAGCAAAAGCAUUAAGUGAUCCACCUGGGGAGUACGGCCGCAAGGCUG